rnacentral:rRNA from 1 species
GACGAACGCUGGCGGCGUGCCUAACACAUGCAAGUCGAGCGAAGUUAUUCCUUCGGGGAUAACUUAGCGGCGGACGGGUGAGUAACACGUGGGUAACCUGCCUUAUAGAGGGGGAUAGCCUUCCGAAAGGGGGAUUAAUACCGCAUAACAUCAGAUUCUCGCAUGGGAAUUUGAUCAAAGGAGUAAUCCGCUAUAAGAUGGACCCGCGGCGCAUUAGCUAGUUGGUGAGGUAACGGCUCACCAAGGCGACGAUGCGUAGCCGACCUGAGAGGGUGGUCGGCCACAUUGGGACUGAGACACGGCCCAGACUCCUACGGGAGGCAGCAGUGGGGAAUAUUGCACAAUGGGGGAAACCCUGAUGCAGCAACGCCGCGUGAGUGAUGAAGGCCUUCGGGUUGUAAAGCUCUGUCUUUGGGGACGAUAAUGACGGUACCCAAGGAGGAAGCCACGGCUAACUACGUGCCAGCCGCCGCGGUAAAAC